UGAAAACACCAGUUCUCAUUCAAUCACUGGAGUUAAGCGGCAUUAAGCCUGGUCAGUACUUAGAUGGGGGACCACUUGGGAUCACCAGGUACUGUAAG